rnacentral:rRNA from 1 species
AUGAACGCUAGCUACAGGCUUAACACAUGCAAGUCGAGGGGCAGCAUGGUCUUAGCUUGCUAAGGCCGAUGGCGACCGGCGCACGGGUGAGUAACACGUAUCCAACCUGCCGUCUACUCUUGGACAGCCUUCUGAAAGGAAGAUUAAUACAAGAUGGCAUCAUGAGUCCGCAUGUUCACAUGAUUAAAGGUAUUCCGGUAGACGAUGGGGAUGCGUUCCAUUAGAUAGUAGGCGGGGUAACGGCCCACCUAGUCUUCGAUGGAUAGGGGUUCUGAGAGGAAGGUCCCCCACAUUGGAACUGAGACACGGUCCAAACUCCUACGGGAGGCAGCAGUGAGGAAUAUUGGUCAAUGGGCGAGAGCCUGAACCAGCCAAGUAGCGUGAAGGAUGACUGCCCUAUGGGUUGUAAACUUCUUUUAUAAAGGAAUAAAGUCGGGUAUGGAUACCCGUUUGCAUGUACUUUAUGAAUAAGGAUCGGCUAACUCCGUGCCAGCAGCCGCGGUAAUACGGAGGAUCCGAGCGUUAUCCGGAUUUAUUGGGUUUAAAGGGAGCGUAGAUGGAUGUUUAAGUCAGUUGUGAAAGUUUGCGGCUCAACCGUAAAAUUGCAGUUGAUACUGGAUAUCUUGAGUGCAGUUGAGGCAGGCGGAAUUCGUGGUGUAGCGGUGAAAUGCUUAGAUAUCACGAAGAACUCCGAUUGCGAAGGCAGCCUGCUAAGCUGCAACUGACAUUGAGGCUCGAAAGUGUGGGUAUCAAACAGGAUUAGAUACCCUGGUAGUCCACACGGUAAACGAUGAAUACUCGCUGUUUGCGAUAUACAGCAAGCGGCCAAGCGAAAGCGUUAAGUAUUCCACCUGGGGAGUACGCCGGCAACGGUGAAACUCAAAGGAAUUGACGGGGGCCCGCACAAGCGGAGGAACAUGUGGUUUAAUUCGAUGAUACGCGAGGAACCUUACCCGGGCUUAAAUUGCAGAUGAAUUACGGUGAAAGCCGUAAGCCGCAAGGCAUCUGUGAAGGUGCUGCAUGGUUGUCGUCAGCUCGUGCCGUGAGGUGUCGGCUUAAGUGCCAUAACGAGCGCAACCCUUGUUGUCAGUUACUAACAGGUUCCGCUGAGGACUCUGACAAGACUGCCAUCGUAAGAUGUGAGGAAGGUGGGGAUGACGUCAAAUCAGCACGGCCCUUACGUCCGGGGCUACACACGUGUUACAAUGGGGGGUACAGAGGGCCGCUACCACGCGAGUGGAUGCCAAUCCCCAAAACCUCUCUCAGUUCGGACUGGAGUCUGCAACCCGACUCCACGAAGCUGGAUUCGCUAGUAAUCGCGCAUCAGCCACGGCGCGGUGAAUACGUUCCCGGGCCUUGUACACACCGCCCGUCACACCAUGAGAGUUGGAAAUACCCGAAGCCUGUGAGCUAACCUAUGAGGCAGCAGUCGAAGGUAGAGCCAAUGAUUGGGGUG